GUGGGGAAUAUUGGACAAUGGGCGAAAGCCUGAUCCAGCCAUGCCGCGUGUGUGAAGAAGGUCUUCGGAUUGUAAAGCACUUUAAGUUGGGAGGAAGGGCAUUAACCUAAUACGUUAGUGUUUUGACGUUACCGACAGAAUAAGCACCGGCUAACUUCGUGCCAGCAGCCGCGGUAAUACGAAGGGUGCAAGCGUUAAUCGGAAUUACUGGGCGUAAAGCGCGCGUAGGGGGUUCGUUAAGUUGGAUGUGAAAGCCCCGGGCUCAACCUGGGAACUGCAUCCAAAACUGGCGAGCUAGAGUACGGUAGAGGGUGGUGGAAUUUCCUGUGUAGCGGUGAAAUGCGUAGAUAUAGGAAGGAACACCAGUGGCGAAGGCGACCACCUGGACUGAUACUGAUACUGAGGUGCGAAAGCGUGGGGAGCAAACAGGAUUAGAAACCCUUGUAGUCC
rnacentral:rRNA from 1 species